CGGUGUCUCCCCAUAGAACUUUAUUGAUAAACACCGGAGAAAUUACUAAAAAGUUGAUUCCUUCACCCAGAUGCUUCAUUGCUUUUGUUGCCAACUUGUCUGUCACUCUAUUUGCCUCUAUGAAUGUGUGAUUUGCUUGUGGAAGGCCCAGCGCUGCUAGGAGAGAUCUGCAUUCACAAAUCAAAGAAUCAUAUAUCAGAUUAACUUUCUUUAUGCAUUGUAUUACUUCUAUCGAGUCCACAGUGGCCUUCAAGGGCAUUAGAUUGUUUGGUGAUGCCAUUUUCUGGCCCAGCAAAAAAGCUAUUAGCUCAUAACAGAGUGUAUUUCUGCACUUGACUUUCCUCAUAUACCCCGUUACCCAAUUUUCAUUGUUGUUUCUAAUUAUUCCUCUUAUUCUCCCAUUUUUAUUUUUUUAUUGAAAGCAUCAUCAAUGUUUAGCUUGUAACAACCACGAUCUAGGGUUUCCAUUUAACAAACAUGAGGGCACUAAGUUUGUGGUCUUUUCCUCCUAUUGCUAUGUGCAAGAAUUCUGCAGCCUUAUUAAUGGCCACUUUAAAAGGGACAUGACGUUCCUAUGAUUGAAGCUAUUUGUGUUCACGGUUAACCAAACUUGCCAAAUGCAGAAAGGGAUUAGGUGGACCCACUUAAUAAAUCCAUUCAAUGGUUGGUGUUUAACCUUGUUAACAGUGUAUAUCCAGUUUGCUUGGCUUGUGACCAGUUUUGGAAUAUUAAGGUUGAAAAGGCUUAGCUCAUCUAGCUUCUUCCUGCACUGGGUAGCAUUAUCACACUUAAAGACCAUGUGUUCUAUUCUUUCUUCCUCCUUGUCACCGAAGAAACAUAUGGGGUUUAGGUUCAUACCCCUUGAGUGGAGGUAUUGAGUUGUAGGUAGUCUGGCUUGAGUUGCUAACCAAAGGAAAUAUUUAACCUUAUUGGGCAGCUUUUGGCCUCAUGCCUAAUUGAAGUCUUUACCAGGAUUAUGGACCUGAUAAUAGUUCAGCCUUCCAAUGAGGGUACAGACUGUUUUGGUAGAGAAGAGGCCACUAUCAGUAAGGUUCCAAACCAUCUUAUUCAUAUUGGCAGAUUUGGGGUUAACAAAGAUAGACAUUAUAGUAAAUACAACAUUCUUGGGGAGGUUAAAUGAGAUAUAAAUGAUGUCCCAGUGAUCCUCAUUAUAGAAAGUGACUACUUUCAAACUCUCAUCCCCUUGGGUGAGGGGGCAACUAAUAAGGGUUAUAAGGAACUCCAUACCAGGGAUCCAUCUGUCACCAUAAAAAUUGAUUCUAUCCCCCUUAUUUACUAUCCACCUAGUGGCCUUACUACAGACUUCCCAUCCAUUUUAUUUAUAUUUUUCCAAGUCCUAGAUGCAAUAUGCCUUGAAUGGUUUAUGCUAGUACAGUGCUUGUGGAAUAGCACCCUGAUCCACAUGGCAUUUGUAGUCUUGCACAUCCUCUAGGACAGGCUAGUGUGAGUGGCAAUAUUUUUGUUUUCAGGUGUCUGCACAGCCAACCCCGUCCCCUUAGGUUCACAGAUUUUCACCCAACUAGGUGCAUUUUCCUUUUAGCUAUAGUAGUACCCCAUACAAAGUUCUUCUGAAUUAUGUCAAUUCGGUUGCAUACCUGGGCUGGGAGCUUUAUGUAUUUCAUAACAUGGAUAGGGAUGAACCCAAGGGAGGAUUUAGCUAGUAUGGUUCUCCCAGCCAUAUUCAUGAACUUGGUUUUCCAGCCUGCCAGCUUAGUUGUUAUCAAUUAUAAAUGGGUAGUCUCUAUUGGUGGUUCUUUUGUGGAAGAUGUGUGAAAACUUAGGUACUUGCCAAAAUAUAGCCUAGGCUUAGUUGUAAGAAAUAUGGCAAGUCUAUAUACUUUCUAUUGGUUACAGUUUGUGGAGAAGAUAAUUUUGGAUUUGAAGUUAUUAAUCUUUUGGCGUGAUUUACAACUAAACACCUAGAGAGUUUCUGUGAUGAUAUUACAAUUCUUGGUGUUUGCUCUAGCAAAGAGGUGAAGGUCAUCUGCAAAGAAGAUGUAGGAAAUUUUUGGUCCAGUUUAGCUGGUUUUUAUAAGAAACCAUUUCUCAUUUUGCACUUUAGCAUCAAUGCUUCUAGAGAGUCUAUUCCUACAGAUUAUGAAGAUGUAGAGAGAUGUAGGAUUUUUCUGUCUGAUGCCCCUACUAGGUUUCAAACAAUCAGUCCUUCUCUCAUUGACAGCACUGAGAUAGAUAAGGUUGAGAUACAUGACAUAAUCUGCUUAGUGGUGGUGCUAGGUAAACCAAAGGAAAACAAUGUGUCUUCGAUGAAGGAUCAUCCUAACAUAUCAAAAUUCUUUUCUAGGUAAAUCUUUAGAAUUAUGUUGGAAAUCAUACCUUUCAUUUUAUUAAAGUGAUUAAUAUAUUCUUGCACAAUAACAGCAUUGUCACAUACCCCCAUGUUUGAUAUGAAACUAGCUUGGCUAGGCCCUAUGAUGCAGGACAAUAUAGGCUUGGCACAUUUAUGAAUCAGGUACAUAUGGGUAGUGUUGACUUCAGGGUUCAUUUCAAGUUUGUUGAAUACUUGCGUACAAAAGUUGGUUACUUUUUCCUCAAGAACAUUUCAGUACUUUUGGUAGAACAUUGGGUGUAUGCCAUCAUGCCCAUGGGCAUUGGAGGGUUUGAAUGUGAAUAAAUCAGUCUUUAUCUCGCUAUUCCUCAUAUGUGUACUGAGUAUGUUAUAAUCUUUGUGGGAAAGGGUGUGAGAUAUAUGAGGGGUAGUAUCUCUACACUUCGUGGAGGAUUGGUGAUAAGUGGUGAAUAUGGAUGAGUAAAACUUGAAAAUAGUGUCUUCAAUUCCUUUAUGAUCAUCCACCCAUUUCUCUUUCUCAUUUUGGAGGGCCGGAAUUCUAUUCUUCUUCUCCUGUUGAGGGUAGAAACAUGAAAGAAUUUAGUGUUGGCAUCCCUCUCUAUAAGCCAAUUUAUCCUAGACUUAGUUUUCCAUAAUUCAUCUUCACUUCUCAGAAUAGCUAAAUAGUUUUCCUACAGAUGACCUUCUAAUUGCUGGAGGUAAGGGUUAAAAGGGUAGGCACUAGAUUUUUGGAAACCUCCUAGCUUGGCUAGUAGAUAUUUCUUCUUGUGGAAGAUGCUACCAAAGACUGUCAUGUUCCAGAGGUAACUUGGUGUUAGAAUUUGGUAGUUCCCUCUAGGAAGCUACAAUUUCUCUUAUAGGUUUGUUGCACCACAUUAGUAAGGGAGUGUUGGCUGCACCACAUGGGCUCAAAAAUAAAGGGCUUAGUGGGGAUACUAGGCCUAAAUCAAAGAUUAAUAAGCAUAGAGCAGUGAUCAAAAUGGGUUGUAGGAAAGUGGCUAAAUAGUACUUGAGGGGAAUUCUUCGAUCCAUUCCUCAUUAGAAAAACACCUGUGUAGACUUCUAAGAUUAACUGACUCAUAGUCAUAUAUCUCAUGUUAGACCGGGUGAAUUUGCUACCUUUAAAGCUAAAGUCAAUCAACUUACACUGAUUGUUGCAUUGCCAUAAAAGACUAGCCCUUAGAGUAGAGAUACAGUUCCUCACCCCAUAUUUGUCUCUAGUUCUCAAUACUUCAUUAAAGUCCCCCUACUCUCUAGUCCCCUAUCAGGUAAAGUUUUUUUUAUAUGGUGCUAGAGGUUCCUUCUAAGUGCAUAAGUGUUACUAGCAUAAAUAGCAGUGGAAGACCAGGAAUUGGAUGAGGGAAUAAUUCCAUGGGAUGUGGUGGGGACUUUAUCAACUUUGAGUAGAUCAUCCUUCCACAUGAUGACAAUGCCCCAAAAUAGGGAAAUAGUUGGGUUUUGGAUUUACCCAGAGAAACCCAACUCCUGAAUCAUUUUUUAUGCUCCGUAAUUGAACAGAUAUAGAUUAUACUACGUCUCAAUUAUAUAAAAACAUAACAAGAAUUUAUCCUACAACAGGUUCCAUCAAAACCCUAUAUAAUAAAUUAGCUAUUCAUAAUAGUAUGUAAAACUACAAUACUAAAAGUCAUAACCAACAAUGAAAAAUAGGAAGAGGAAAGAAAAAACUUGUAGAAGAAUUCCCAAGCCUUGCUCUUAUUGUGUCUUUGCCUCAUUAGGUCAAAUCUAUGUCAAAAAUAUGUCCCUUCUUCAAAAAUACCAUUUUUCCAUGUAUAUAUACCAAGUAGGGUCAAGCAUAAACACGUAUACCUUCUCAUACGCAAAAAAGGACAAGUUUGAGGCCUGGAUGGAUGUGGUUCUAGCGCGGUCGCACCUGGACUGCAUCCAGAAUAGCCUGCAGGAUCUGCAGCAGUGUUCUGUCGCAGCCCUAUCGCGGUUACAGUUUAGAUCGCCUUUUUCACCUUGUUACACUUGGAAUUUGGAAAAACGUAAAACAUGAAGGUUUCAUUACUUUGAGUUAUCUUUCCAACCAUAUAUUGUGUAACCUAAAUGGAGUUUGGAGCAAAAUAUUAUGUCCAAUUUACUAGACAGUGCAUAAUAUACCUCAUCGAGUCUUCGUUUGUUCUCAACUAUCAAAUUUGACCCCCGAACAUGAUCCUGGCUUAAUUUCUUGAGCUUUUACUCAGACUUCAAAGCUUCAAAUUACUUAAAUUCAUUCCAUAACA
rnacentral:lncRNA from 1 species